GGGACUUCCGGCCCCGGUGUGGAUGUUUGUCGUGGGGCGCACUGGUCCGCAUCCCAGAACUGUGCUGCCAAGGAUGGUGAGGAGCCGGGGGCUCACCUCCGCACCGACGUAGGACCUGGUGGUGGGAGCCGUCCCUCGCGGCCCCAUCGUCCCAUCGGUCGAUGGCGGAGGGGAAGGACGCAGCGCAGAUGUUCGUGACCUUCAAGGAUGUGGCUGUGACCUUUACCCAGGAGGAGUGGAGACAGCUGGACCUGGCCCAGAGGACCCUGUACCAAGAGGUGAUGCUGGAGACCUGUGGGCUCCUGGUUUCACUAGGGUAUUGGGUUCCCAAACCAGAGUUGGUCCACCUGCUAGAGCAUGGGCAGGAGCUGUGGACAGUGAAGAGAGACCAUUCACACCCUACCUGUGCAGGUGACAAAGCACAAGUUCAGACCACAGAGCCAACCACUUACCUACCAGUCUUAUCUAAGCGGGCCUUUCUCCAGGGAAGCCUGACUCUGGAAUGUUCAAGUGAUUCAAGGUUGGGGAGAUCUAGAGAUCAGGAAGGGCUUUUGGAAAUGCAGAAAGGUCAGGUGACACCAGAGACAGACCCCCACAAGGAGACCCAUCUGCAGAAAGAGAGCCUUGAAGGUCAAGGUUUGGAGACAAAUGACAGUCUGCACUCCAGGGCAUUACAAGAGUGGUUAUCAGCAGAUGUUCUCCAUGAAUGUGACUCACAGCAGCCAGGGAAAGACACCUUGAUUUGUGCAGGGACAAACCCCUACAAAUGCAAACAGUGUGGGAAAGGUUUUAACAGGAAGUGGUAUCUUGUUCGACAUCAAAGGGUUCACACUGGAAUGAAACCCUAUGAAUGCAAUGCGUGUGGGAAAGCCUUUAGCCAGAGCUCAACUCUUAUUCGGCACUACCUUAUCCACACCGGGGAGAAACCAUACAAGUGCCUUGAGUGUGGGAAGGCCUUCAAACGCAGGUCAUACCUCAUGCAGCACCAUCCAAUCCACACUGGAGAGAAACCCUAUGAGUGCAGUCAGUGUCGAAAGGCCUUUACCCAUCGGUCUACUUUUAUUCGCCAUAAUAGGACCCAUACUGGAGAAAAACCCUUUGAGUGCAAAGAAUGUGAGAAAGCCUUUAGCAAUAGGGCUCACCUAAUUCAACACUACAUCAUCCACACUGGAGAGAAGCCCUAUGAUUGCAUGGAGUGUGGAAAGGCCUUCAGAUGCAGCUCAGAACUCAUGCAGCACCAGCGGAUUCACACUGGGGAGAAGCCCUAUGAAUGCACCCAGUGUGGGAAAGCCUUUCACCGGAGCACAUACCUCAUUCAGCACUCUGUCAUUCACACUGGGGAAAUGCCCUACAAGUGUAUCCAGUGUGGGAAAGCCUUCAAACGCAGGUCACACCUUCUGCAGCACCAAAGAGUCCACACAUGAGAGAACCCUACUGCAAUGAAUAUAGCAAGGCCUUCACCGACUGUUCCUAUUUUAUCAUUCAUAAUGGGACCCACAAUAGAGGAAGAAAUCCUCCAAGUGCAAAGAAUGUCAGGAAACUUCAUUUUUUUUUUUUUUUUUUUUUUUUUGGUCAGCUCUUUCUUAACACAUGAGCAGUUACUCUGGAGAGAAGCCCUGUGAAUACAGUGAAUGUAAGGAUGCCUUCAGCCACCACUCAGUUCUCACUCGCUGCAGAAGGAUUUGUACCAGAGAGAAAUGUGGAAGGCAUUCCAUCAAUAUCAGAUAACUCAUGCUGGAGAAAGACAUUCCAAAUAUACCUAUUAAGGACAGUCUUUGCCAGAGGAAAAAUCUUACUGAGAAUAAUAAUGAAAAGUUACUACAUAAUUGUCACUGAUGUGAGAAAACUUUUGUGUGACCAGAUCAUCACUUACUUGUCCUGUAAAGAGCCAUGCUGGAAUUUGACCCACCUUGGGAUUUAUUCUGUAAACUUAUGAAAACCUUCAAUACAGGACAGAGAGCACAGUUUCCUCUUCUUUGGGAAGGAGAGUUGACUCUUGAGGAUCCCCACCCUCCUGCAUCCUCUCUCUGGAAGGCUGCAUGUAUUGUAGCUGUGGCUGUACUUGUACCUAAGGCCCUGGGUUCAAGAGAGUUGGAGAGAUCCCUCUAGAAACAUAUUGGCCAUCAUCAAAGUGUUCUUUCCAGGCCUCAGGACCUGGGCCCCAAUUUGUACCAAAGCAGGAGUGAUGUUUUCCAUGGGAUAAAGGACACCCUAGCGUUUUUCUUAGCUUUCAGUUCUUUCUGUACAGUCUUUACUUAAGUGUUUGGUACAUGGAUCUACUGUAACUUGCUGCUGUGAUAGGCAGGAAUCUCAUGAGACACCCAUCCUUCAGCGGCAUGGCCACUCACUGUUGUGGUCAUACUUGGAAGAGUAGGGUACAUGGAUGGCUGGGCUAUGGGUACUGCCCUUGAGCAGGGAAGGGACUUACUAUUAUAGGAAAAACACAUGAGAACAGCUGUAAUAUAUUAACCUAAAAUUGUUGUAGCACCCAUUUUUAAGUCAGUAAAAGUUCUGAACUUAAUUCUGUAUGCUUUCCACAAAUACUAAGUUUAUGAUUAAGCUAAAACAUGUUUUCAUGUUCACAGUUGUUAUUAUAACUUUGUUACAUUUAAUGAGCAAAUUAUAUAAAAGGCACCAUGCUCUUAUGGUGCUUAAUAUGUGGGAAAUGAUUGUGGGGGUGGGACUAGUUAUGACCAUUCACUGUUGGUGUACUUCAAUUAGUAAAUCUCACAGAGGAAAUGUGGAAGGUGAAUUAAUUUAGCAAGUCGGUCAUGCAAAGAUGAAUUAGAAAUUUUUUUUUUGAGACGGAGUCUCACUGUAUUGCCUA